GUCUGGCAUUUCCUAUCAGAGAGACCUUGGAAGACUUAUUAAAUGCCACUGCCCCUCACUUUUUGAAUUUGUCAAGAGAGGCUAAUUUUUGUCUUACAGGGAUCCUUAUGAGAGAAGGCAGUGAAAACGGAGCAAGCACUCUGGGUCUGCAGCGGAAUCUCUAUGGAUGUUGGCCUUUCUCUCCCUUUCCUGAAAAGAACCGAGAGGCUUGCGCUGAGUGACACAUCCUAGAACACCUGUUUCCACGACCCUUCCCUGGCUGUUGAGACUACAGUGGAAGGACACGGCUGCCAGAGCAAAGGUCUCUGGAGAGGAAUUAAACGAUGGGGGCAGAUCUCCAGUGGGUAAGUGAAUACCUUUUCUCACGUUUCUGUCUUUAUUUCCUACCUAACCUGGAUUCCUACAGCUAGCUGUUUAAUGCAUACCUGCACUAACAUCUUACACUGACCGUCCCCUGAAUUUCCACCACGGCUACUUUGUUAGUCCAUGUUCUGGAAAAUAAUUCUGCUUGUUUGUAAGCAAAUGAUGGAGACAGACUGGAGAAAAUCUGUACCCUUGUGGCCUUGGUCCCACUUAGCCCUAGUGUUCCCAGCAGCUCAGAAACCCUCUGGCUGAGAUUCUCUGCUGGUUCCGGCACCCUACUCUCAACAGAGUGCUUCACAUUCUUGUCCCCACUCUCCAAGAUGGAAACUUGCUGACUUCUUCCCUGCCAGACCAGAGUCUGUCCCUUCUUGCUGUCCUGCCCCUGUUACCGUGUGCAAGUACGCUGUCUCCUGGCCAUGCUGAACCCUCUUCUUCCACUUACAGCUUCUAACUUGUAUCUUUCAAUUUUCUCACCUAUUUCUUUGGCACAAACAUGCCUAAGACUCUGCCCUGUCUCCAGUGUCCCUUGAUCUCCAGUCCCCCACCCCAUCCCAUGCAUCGCCAAACUUCCUCUUUCUAAUGGAACAUUCACUAUUGUUACAGUCGCUAGUCAUUUGUCCAGCUGCCAGAGGGAAUGCCAGGUGAGCCUUCUCAUUUUUACUCCUGGUCUCGCAGAGGUGGGCAGCAUGGCUGACCAGGCUAUGGGCUCUGUCCUAUGACAGGGAGCAUUCCUGAGCCUGUGCCUGUACCCGCUGCCCUUUCUUGUUCUCCGUCACCGUCGAUCACUCUUUACCCAGGCUCUCGGUUGGUAAUCUUAUAUAUUUCCAAGGUUACCAAAAGCUCAUUCUGUUCUAGCUAAGACCAUGACCAACUUCAUAUUUCCUAACCAACAUACUUGUCCCUUAUUUCUGAAUCCCAUUCUCCUUCUGUUGCCAGAGUUACCUCCCUAGAAUAAACAUGAUCAAUACACGCCUCACUUUGAAACCUUUAGCGGCUUCCUGGUGUCUGGAGAAGAAAAUCCAAACCGAUUUCAGCUGCAGUCUAGAAUCUGGUCCCACCCCAACAUCCUAACUUUCAUCUCUGUCCUCACCUCCAUGAACCCUCUGCUAGUCACACGGGCCUUCUUCAGGCUCCCAACACAACCUACUCCCUGCCUUUGACUCAGAGCUGGACUCAAACCACUUUUCAUCUUCUAUGGACAGAAUUUUCUCCCAUGUGUAUAAACCAUGGGAUGGAUCCACUAUUUAUUUUGGAUGAAUGAGUAAAUAAAUCAACACUGUUAAUUCAUUUCA